CGUCAGGACUGAGCUGUGAUGGUGUCAUGGACGGAAUGUUUGUGUCCCUCCCACAUUCGUAUGUUGAAACUCUAACCCGCAGAGUCAUGGUAUUAGGAGGUGGGGCCCUUGGGAGGCGAUCAGGUUGUGAAGGUGGAGCCCUCAUAAAUAGGGUUCGUGCUUUUACGAAAGAGACCCCAGAGAGCUCCCUCACCCCUUCUGCCAUGUGAAGACACAGCGAGAGGAGCGCUGUCUGCGACCCAGGAAGAAGGCCUUCACCAGACGCUGCGUCUGCCAGCACCUUGAUCUUGGACUCCAGCCUCCAGAACGAGCCAGAAAAGAAAAUAUGAAGAAAAUACCAAAGCCAAUGAGAUGAUAUGAAAACGACUUCAGAGCUGUGGCUGGUCAGAAGCAUUAAAAGGAAUCCAGGAUGUUGAUGGUGGAGAAUUCAAUCUACCCAAAUCAGGCAACAAAAGGAACAAAGGGAGAAUUCACAGAGGGGAAAAAGUUCACACUGAAGAACAACUGGAAGAUUCUAAUACAGACGGAUGGCUAAGGAGGCAGGAUCCCAGAGAAUCCCGGAGGGACGGGAUUGGAAGUCCUGGCAGGAGCAUUGUCCUGUGUCAGAGGACAGAGACAUGAGUCUGCAAGAAAGGAGGUAAGAAAAGCAGGCAAGAAGGGGUUUGUGAGCACGUGACUGAGGCCCGCACUGAGAACCAGUGGGGUGCAUUCACAGAGCUGCCCUUCUCAGACUAUGAUCAGAGCGCUGGGGGGUCUAUCGCUAUUGUCAAUAUUGGAGGAAGGGACACUUGAAAGAAUAGGACAUGGAUUUGGCCUUCAAGGAGCUUAUAGGUUAAUGGAGGAAAUCAACCUGCCAACGAAUACCUGUCAUUCAGAGGAGAGUGACACAGAGUGUACCUGAGGGGCAGAGCGGGGAGCUCUCAGCCCAGAAGCAGCAGCAAUGAAUUCUGAUUUGUGGGGUCAAACAAUCAGUCUUUGGAAAGAAGGAAAUGAGAGGAUAUUUUUCCCCAAAAUCUUCUGUGAGAAUGCCCUAGAAAUAAUUCCUGGAAAAGAGACACUAACAGAAUCUCACAGCUGGAUGGGACCAACCAAAGGUGAAUAUAUUCUAACCUUCGUGACACAGAAAUUAAAUCCUAAGCAAAACUCCCAUAGCUUUAAAGAAGUAAAUUCCCAUUCCCACACCAGGGAGCAGACGCUUGGAUUCAUUUCACUUCACGACCCCUUCAGGAAAGCCGAAAUACCGACUGAGAAACAUGCGCUUUAAGGUGUUAAAAUUGAGGUCUGUGAAAUCCCU
rnacentral:lncRNA from 1 species